rnacentral:misc_RNA from 1 species
GAUGAAGAACGUAGCGAAAUGCGAUAAGUAAUGUGAAUUGCAGAAUUCAGUGUAUCAUCGAAUCUUUGAACGCACAUUGCGCCCCCCAGUAUUCUGGCGGGCAUGCCUGUUCGAGCGUCAUUUCAACCAUCAAGCCCUGCUUGUGUUGGGGUCCUGCGGCUGCCCGCAGGCCCUGAAAACCAGUGGCGGGCUCGCUAGUCACACCGAGCGCAGUAGCACAUCUCGCUCAGGGCGUGCGGCGGGCUCCAGCCGUUAAAGCACCCACCUUUCGCAAGGUUGACCUCGGAUCAGGUAGGAAUACCCGCUGAACUUAAGCAUAUCAAUAAGCGGAGGA